UACGUAGGGGGCGAGCGUUACCCGGAUUUACUGGGCGUAAAGCGCGUGUAGGCGGCUGGCCAAGCGUGGUGUGAAAUCUUCGGGCUUAACCCGAAAACUGCAUUGCGAACUGGUCUGGCUAGAGUGUGUGAGAGGGUAGUGGAAUUCCCGGUGUAGCGGUGAAAUGCGUAGAUAUCUGGAGGAACACCGGUGGCGAAGGCGGCAUCCUGGACCAAUUCUGACGCUGAGGAGCGAAAGCCAGGGGAGCAAACGGG
rnacentral:rRNA from 1 species